UGGGGAAUCUUGCACAAUGGGGGAAACCCUGAUGCAGCGACGCCGCGUGAGCGAUGAAGGUUUUCGAAUCGUAAAGCUCUGUCCUAUGGGAAGAUAAUGACGGUACCAUAGGAGGAAGCCCCGGCUAACUACGUGCCAGCAGCUGCGGUAAUACGUAGGGGGCGAGCGUUGUCCGGAAUCACUGGGCGUAAAGGGUUCGCAGGCGGUCAAGCAAGUCAGUUGUCAAAGGCGAGGGCUUAACCCUCGUAAGCAAUUGAAACUGUUUGACUUGAGUAGUGGAGAGGCAAGUGGAAUUCCUAGUGUAGCGGUGAAAUGCGUAGAUAUUAGGAGGAAUACCAGUGGCGAAGGCGACUUGCUGGACACAAACUGACGCUGAGGAACGAAAGCGUGGGGAGCAAACAGG
rnacentral:rRNA from 1 species